GACGAACCGUCCAAACGUUAUUCGGAAUUACUGGGCUUAAAGGGUGCGUAGGCGGUGCCGCAAGUCGGGUGUGAAAUCCCUCAGCUUAACUGAGGAACUGCGCCCGAAACUGCGGUGCUGGAGGGAGACAGGGGUGAGCGGAACUGAUGGUGGAGCGGUGAAAUGUGUUGAUAUCAUCAGGAACACCGGUGGCGAAAGCGGCUCACUGGGUCUCUUCUGACGCUGAGGCACGAAAGCUAGGGGAGCAAACGGG
rnacentral:rRNA from 1 species